AGACAGUUCGGUCCCUAUCUGCCGUGGGCGCUGGAGAACUGAGGGGGGCUGCUCCUAGUACGAGAGGACCGGAGUGGACGCAUCACUGGUGUUCGGGUUGUCAUGCCAAUGGCACUGCCCGGUAGCUAAAUGCGGAAGAGAUAAGUGCUGAAAGCAUCUAAGCACGAAACUUGCCCCGAGAUGAGUUCUCCCUGACUCCYUGAGAGUCCUGAAGGAACGUUGAAGACGACGACGUUGAUAGGCCGGGUGUGUAAGCGCAGCGAUGCGUUGAGCUAACCGGUACUAAUGAACCGUGAGGCUUAACCUUACAACGCCGAAG
rnacentral:rRNA from 1 species